UUUCCCCACCCACACAGUUAAUUCCAUAAACUUUUUGACCAUUCAGAGGAAAACUGUACAGUAUUCCACAGAGCUCCCUGAUCACAGCCAUCCAGCAGCUCACAUCCCUAACUCACAGAGGAAAAUGGAAAAGUAAAAGAUGACGGAAGGUUGAUAUGCCAAACAUAAGUGCUUCAGGCAACGAAAAUAAGGAGGCACCAAUAGUUUCUACGAGACAUACAAAUUAAUUCAUAGCACACCAUCAAGACCAACUGGUGCAAGCAAAAGACGGAAUGGAUGUUCUGGCAAACAACCGCGGGUUCAGCCUGAUUCUGAAUUUCCUUCUAAUUAUCAUUGUGUUGUUAUUAAUGUUUAUUAUUGUUAAGCUCAUGUAAUUUUAUUUUCUUCUGCUGAGUUCUGUACUUUCAUGUUAUGCCCUGAAGACUGUGUGCAGCUACUAUUGCUUUCAGAUCUGGGAAGAAAAAUCCAAUCAAAAUGCAACCACUAAUCUGAGACCUACUGCGCUAUACGCCUGAGAAAACAACAUUCAAUGUCUACAAGGACCUUUGCAAUAACUGCUGUUUUUAAAAUGUACCAACUGCUUCCUGGACAAACCAUUUAAGAGAUACAAAAGCUGUUUUGAACAUAUGAUUAGUUUCGAGGUAUAUCCUCAAUAAUUCUAAAAUCACUUGAAAUUAUUCCUUUCGCAAUAACAUUGAAAAUAUGUGCAAACAGAAUUUAUAGAUAUUAGCUAAUCAAUGAUCAGCAGGAUUUCAUUUGUAGAGCAUAAGGGUAUCAUUCAGAUAUGUUUGUUUGCCCAGAUGGAUCAUUAAAAUGUUUUUUAAAAUGGCAUUAGUGAGGAAUGGCACCAUUACACAUCUAAAAGUCGUAAGCACUGUUCGCUAUCGGACUCUACUGAAGUUUUUAAACUUGGUGUUCAGAGAUCCAGUAUUAAAUUCAAGCAGUCAAGGUGGAAGAAAAUGUCAGUGUACUAAUGAUGGCCUAGGCUUAAUCUGAUGGUCACCCCUCCUAAUUUCUCCCCCCACUGAUUGAUGUCCACCCUUGUUAUCAUGAUUUUCCUCAUUUGUGAAAUAGCUUGGGACAAAGGUAGUGUUUGACUGGAACAGGUAGAUUUAUUCCAGUGUACAUUUCAUACCACUCUUGUUUGAACACUCUUAUCUAUAAUGUAGACAAUGCCUUACACUCUAGAUUCAGCCUGGAGUAAAUAGCAAUCAGAAGAUAAACUCCAAUUGCAAUUAACAAUACCCAUGUUUUCACAUAAUAAACUGAAUGUAGAAUUAUGUCAACCCUUUGGCAUCCAAGCUGUGACUUUAACUGUACUGAUAUUCUGAAGCCAGAGCUCCCCCAACAGUGUAACUAUAAGACAAUUCAGACACAAACUAAAGUGCAAUUUGGAGUGUGCACUGAUUGCCUCAUUUGAACAGGUUGAAAGGACACAAGAAUAUCACAUUCAGGAAAACUCAAGCUUUAUGCCUGCUUCACUAAAUUUAGUGCACUUCACGGUAACACAUCCUGAAUAAAUCUUCUUAAUAUGCAAUGUAAAUUACACUUCUAUAAGGAAACGGUUUAGCUGAUGUGAUACCUUCAAAAAUAAACUUAAGAUUUUAACCCAUGAACUCCUUAACAAACUUCUACUCUCAGUGUAAUACUAUGAGGUUUAUUUUAUGUAUUUGUAGUUUAUGUUGCUUUCAGAGGUCACACAGUAGAAAUGAAGGAAUGUUACCUUAUGUGCUCGAUAUUGUAAAAUUACUACACAAGAAGAAUACCAAAGAUCCUGUGGGAUUCUGGGGGUAUUUUAGCACUGUGAAAUUACCCCUUUUAUAUUGUGGGAUAAAUUCCUUAGCAUCAGAGAAACAACUAAGUAGCAUUUGCAAAAAUAAACUUGUGAUCUCACCUGAAA